rnacentral:rRNA from 1 species
UGGGGAAUUGUUCACAAUGGGCGCAAGCCUGAUGACGCAACGCCGCGUGGGGGAUGAAGGUCUUCGGAUUGUAAACCCCUGUCGAAUGGGACGAAAGACUCGCGAGUUAAUACUUCGCGGGAGUGACGGUACCGUUAAAGGAAGCCACGGCUAACUCUGUGCCAGCAGCCGCGGUAAUACAGAGGUGGCAAGCGUUGUUCGGAAUUACUGGGCGUAAAGGGCGCGUAGGCGGCCUACUAAGUCAGACGUGAAAUCCCCCGGCUUAACCUGGGAACUGCGUCUGAUACUGGAAGGCUUGAGUAUGGGAGAGGGAUGUAGAAUUCCAGGUGUAGCGGUGAAAUGCGUAGAUAUCAGGAAGAGCACCUGUGGCGAAGGCGGCUAGCUGGGCCAGUUCUGACGCUGAUCCGCGAAAGCGUGGGGAGCAAACAGGAUUAGAUACCCAGGUAGUCCCUGAGCGGGC